rnacentral:rRNA from 1 species
UACAUGUGGGGCAAGCGUUUGUUCGGAAUUACUGGGCAUAAAGGGUGCGUAGGCGGCUUGUUAAGUCAGGGGUGAAAGUUUUCGGCCCAACCGGAAAAUUGCCUUUGAUACUGGCGAGCUGGAGUGCGUGAGGGGGUGACCGGAACGAGUGGUGUAGCGGUGAAAUGCGUAGAUAUCACUCGGAAGGCCAACGGCGAAGGCAGGUCACUGGUGCGCAACUGACGCUGAGGCACGAAAGCGUGGGGGAGCAAACAGG